UUCGCCACCACGAAGUUUCACCCAUUUUAAAAGAACACUGUGCAUGUAUUGAAGAAGACUUAGAUGAUAUAGAGAACAAUAUUUGGCCUAUACUGACCUAUAUUGCUGGCUAUGCUGCCUAUGCUACCAACAAACGCAUAAAAUAUAAUUACUGGCGUGUUUUUUGACUGAAGAAGAUGUCCAUACUUUUUCCAACGUAAUAACUGCAAACGACAGGGGAGGCCUAUGUUAUCCAAGUCAAGACAUUGUCCAAAUCAGUGCUUGGAAAAAGAAUAAACAUUUCGUUCCCAACCAAACCAGAAGCACGCUGUGACGAUGCUAAGUGCUUCAUCUCUAGAACACUUCAGUGUCUUUUCUGGACUUUCGUGUGAAGUGCAUGGUAAGGAUUUGUUAGUGAAAAGUGUGGUUUCAUGCAUUACAAACAUAUUGUUGAAAAACUACGCAAAGCGUCAAAACGACAACACACCAAAAAAAAAAAACCAGUAACACAAUGUAAAAGACAGAAGUUUUAGGUUAAGUUCGGUUAAUUUAAUAAUAUACAUACUUACUUGUUGUAAUUCAUGUUGGAAACUCAGUAACCAAUUUUAGUUAGUGUAAAUAUGAUUGGAAAUUCCAAUUUCUACGAUACAUUUUAAUUUCAAUUUAAAAAUCUUGCCAAUGUCAUUCAUAUCAUCGGUCCACUAUCGAUGACGUCACAAAUGUAGUUGCCUGGCUUUCUGUUUAGAGGGUGUUGAGUGAUGAUAGUAUCCACAGAUAAAUACAGUCUACCAAUUGGUACCAGAAAAAUCGAAGAGGCAAAGUUCAAGCUUAUGGAGUACAUAUUCGGUGGUCAAAUGCAGCUCAACAUAAAAGAAGGCAUUGACGUAAGGAACCAAGCAUUUAAAAUUGGUCCCGUUUUUGAAGAAAAAGGCAGUGGGUUAUACAGUCAAAGGUGUUGACACAGGCCCAAAUAAAGUUAUUUUUGGAAGAAGCUAACGACAAAAAUUAUUUUGCUUUGGAAGGUUGUUUUGAUUAUGGGAGUAUCAGGAGCCAUGAGACGUGAUGAGUUAACAAAAAUCACCAUUGAUGACAUCCAAGAUGGCAACAGUGUUCUGAUCGUUACUGUUACUGUUCCUGAUACAUAAUAGAGACAUAAAUCGCACUUUUACCGUUACGA